UUCCAGACUCCUACGGGAGGCAGCAGUGAGGAAUAUUGGUCAAUGGGCGAGAGCCUGAACCAGCCAAGUCGCGUGAGGGAAGACGGUCCUAUGGAUUGUAAACCUCUUUUGCCGGGGAGCAAAAAGCGGUACGUGUACCGCAUCGAGAGUACCCGGAGAAAAAGCAUCGGCUAACUCCGUGCCAGCAGCCGCGGUAAUACGGAGGAUGCGAGCGUUAUCCGGAUUUAUUGGGUUUAAAGGGUGCGCAGGCGGCGAGUUAAGUCAGCGGUAAAAAUGCGGUGCUCAACGCCGUACAGCCGUUGAAACUGGCAGUCUUGAGUGGGCGAGAAGUAUGCGGAAUGCGUGGUGUAGCGGUGAAAUGCAUAGAUAUCACGCAGAACUCCGACUGCGAAGGCAGCAUACCGGCGCCCGACUGACGCUGAGGCACGAAAGCGUGGGUAUCGAACAGGAUUAGAUACCCCAGUAAC
rnacentral:rRNA from 1 species